UCUGCAAAUUCCAUUUACAGGUAGAGUCUCUUGGUCUGCUCAUGGUAAAUCAAGGUACCUUUUCUUUUCUGGAGUUUUACAUUUAGAUUCUCUGCUACUGGAUUAACACUACCAUGGAGCAAGUCAACAAGGAGAUUAAUGUGUUUGAUUUGAUUUUUUUUUAAGUAGUGAUUGGUCAAAGAUUACAUACACUGGUCGUGUCACAAUCAAGGUAUCUACAAUCGCAACCAAGGUGUCUUUAACAGUGGAAGCACAUGAUGCAGCUCAUGGAGGUCUACUUCCAUUGGUUAGUCCCUUAAGGAGGAGAAUACACUUUGUAAGCCUUGGGCCGGAAACGAGGUGUUGCUAGAUGAAAAAUUUAAGAAGACCUUAGAAAACAUCAUCAGCUCUUCGAUGCGAAGCAUUGUAUCUAAACAAGUUGGGCCAUCUAAGCAGGCUUUCUACUCUGCCUCCUUUGAUGGAGAUGGAAUCAUAAAACAAAAUGAUAAGUCAAUUUAGAAAUCAAAGCCUCGACCCAAUGUACUCAAAAAUAUAGAGAUUACUCGCAGCAGCCCCCUAUUCAGGAACUAAUUGGAAGGGAUCUUCAUGAUAUAUAAUGAAUGAAAAUUCACAUAUUUCGAGGUAAGUAUGGAACUAUGGAUUUAGCAUUCUUCAAAUCAACUACUCUAGCUUUAAUCGUAGAAAG